AGGGAGCCUGAGAAACGGCUACCACAUCCAACGAAG
rnacentral:rRNA from 1 species